rfam:Picea glauca, whole genome shotgun sequence.
AUGUACAUGCUUACAACAUAGAGUCAAUUCCAUAGAUCCCAUUAGAACCUCAUAGUUAAGCGCGCUCUGGUUAGAGUAAUACUGGGAUGGGUGACUAUCCGAGAAGUCUCAAUAUUUUACAUG